GCUUUCCUUUCCUGUGUGGCGGGCAUGCUUUUCACCUCUCUUGUCUUCCUUUUGUCGGGAGCUUCCUAUUAUAUUAUACAAAGUGCACUUACCAGCAAAAGGAAAUAUCAAUAACAUAAAAUAUCAAAUAGGUAAUGAGUGCUUAAACAUCUACAUUUCCUAAAACUAAAAACAAAAUAAAAUGUGCCGAUAAGAUUUUAAAAUAAAUAGAGUACCAGCCCUUUGUAGAAGAAGGAAUGCUUCCUGUGUUGGGAACUGGACUUGUGAUCUUUAGCAAGCUCCCUAAAUCUCUGUACCUGUUUCAUCAUCUGUAAAACGGGGCAAGGGUAAAUACACACCGCACAGUUAGGUGCUUGCUUCGGCUUCUAGGACAUAGCGGGAAGGGAAAGGGAGAGCAUGGCUAGAGAUCAAGUAAGUUUAUAACUUGUUGUAACAAAACAAGGAAAUUUUAUGUCUGGCUGGCCGCUAAACAGAAGGUAAAAUCAUUAGAUGAGAGUGGGUAGUGUGGAGCCAGAGGAAUCAGAGACAUGAAGACAUCUGCAAAGUUACAAAACAGUUAUUGUACAAAAAGAUAGACACGAUCACUAGAGAAACAUGAAGGAGGGCCAGACACCACGGACGCCUGUGAGGACGGGAUCAUGGCGACUCAGGACACAGGCUGGUGACCUUCAUCCUGGAUCAGGCAUAGGCAGCUGGAGCGCGUGGGAAGACCGUCUGCCAAGGCCAAGGCCAGUAACAGGGAUGUCCCUAGGGCUGCUAACUGAGGCAGGAGAGGCGGCUGCUCGGGGAUCACAGGGUCAGCCCUGGCUGAACAGUCACUGUGGGCUGACCUGAUAGCGCCAGACCUCCCACCCACUCUUCACCACCUCCUCCUCACCACCAGGGCGCCUGGGUCCUGGUUUCUGGGAGAUCUGAAUAACACCUCCCACUGGGUCCUGUCGUAAUGAUAUCAACUCUGUGGGUUGCCCCCUCCGCCCAGUACUGGAGACGGAACUUGGAGCCUCAGCGCUGAGACAUACUCAGUCUUCUGGUUUUUUGGUUUGAGACAAGGUUUUACUAAAUUGACCAGACUGGGGUCAAACUUUUGAUCCUCCUGCCUCAGCCUCCCUGAGUGCUGACAUGACAGGUGUGUGCCUCCAUGCCCAGCUGGUCCUCUUUCACCAUCCUCCCAAAGUUCGGAAAUGAACAUCGAUCCAGAUAAAAGCAAGCACACCACAGACUCUGCUCUAAACCCUUUGCUUCUAUCUGUAUUCCUAUGAUUAGAACAAUCCUAACUUUCCUUGACAUUAAAAUUUUCUUUUACGA